rnacentral:rRNA from 1 species
AGUGAACGCUGGCGGUAGGCCUAACACAUGCAAGUCGAGCGGCAGCACAGGAACAACUUUCUCGGAGGGGUGCCGAGGGGUGGAGAAUUGGUCGAUACAUGGCUAUUUACUUGUGAUUACGUGGUGAAGCAUGCACACAUACCGUAUUAGUGCUUAGGACCUACGUGGGGAAGCACAAGGUCUUACGACCUUAGAUGAUUCAAUGAGCCGAUGUCUGAUUAGCUAGUUAGCGGGGUAAAGGCCCACCAAGGCGACGAUGCGUAGCUGGUCUGAGAGGAUGAUCAGCCACACUGGGACUGAGACACGGUCCAGACUCCUACGGGAGGCAGCAGUGGGGAAUAUUGGACAAUGGGCGCAAGCCUGAUCCAGCCAUGCCGCGUGGGUGAAGAAGGCCUUCGGGUUGUAAAGCACUUUUGUCCGGAAAGAAAAGCCGGGAGUUAAUACCUUCGUGUUAUGACGGUACCGGAAGAAUAAGCACCGGCUAACUUCGUG